AAGAAGAGACCCCCAAGGAACAACCUUCAAAGGAGGAGCCACCAAAGGUGCAAGAGCCCAAAGAGGAGCCACCGAAAGUGAAUCCUCCCAAAGAGGAGCCACAAAAGGUGCAACCUCCCAAAGAGGAGUUACCAAAGGAGCAACCUUCAAAAGAUGAGCCACCCAAAGAACAACCUUCAAAGGAGGAGCUACCAAAGGUGCAAGAGCCCAAAGAGGAGCCACCGAAAGUGAAACCUCCCAAAGAGGAGCCACCAAAGGUGCAACCUCCCAAAGAGGAGUUACCAAAUAAGCAACCUUCAAAAGAUGAGCCACCCAAAGAACAACCUUCAAAGGAGGAACCACCCAAGGCACAACCGCCUAAAGAAGAAGCACCGGCUCCAGAGUCCGAGGUUCCAAUUUUUCCUUCACCAAUUGUUGAAGCCCCUCCACCAGAACCCUUUGGGCAAAGUCCCGUCGUUCAAAUCCACCCUCAACCACCACUAGUUCAUUCCCCUCUACCAGUUGUAGUCUCGCCACCAC
rnacentral:lncRNA from 1 species